AGGCAGCUUGAUGCAUUUUCAUUUUUAUACUGAGGACCAGUAGCCUGACCAUAUGAACCUGGUAUCUUUUUUAGGGUUGAUAACCUGAGUUUAAGAGUUGCAUUUUUGGAUAUCUGGUGAUCCUGUAUCAACNACUUAUUUUAUGGAUGUCUUGAUGCUUUUUCUAUAACAUCCUUUUUAGAUGAAAAAGCAAUCGAAACGUGAAUCUGCAGUCAACAAACUUUGAACAAUUUUCUGUUACUUCUUUAAGAUCUUCUUGAAGUGGGAUUUGAGUUGUGCUCUCUUGUAAUUCAUAAAUAAUGGAAUCUCAAUGAUCGAUCUAUGUGCACACAACAGUGCACAUAGAUCG
rnacentral:misc_RNA from 1 species